rnacentral:rRNA from 1 species
UACGUAGGGUGCAAGCGUUAAUCGGAAUUACUGGGCGUAAAGCGUGCGCAGGCGGUGCUGUAAGACAGGCGUGAAAUCCCCGGGCUUAACCUGGGAAUUGCGAUGGAGACUGCAAGGCUUGAAUCUGGCAGAGGGGGGUAGAAUUCCACGUGUAGCAGUGAAAUGCGUAGAGAUGUGGAGGAACACCGAUGGCGAAGGCAGCCCCCUGGGUCAAGAUUGACGCUCAUGCACGAAAGCGUGGGGAGCAAACAGG